GUGAGGAAUAUUGCGCAAUGGAGGCAACUCUGACGCAGCCAUGCCGCGUGCAGGAAGAAGGCGCUACGCGUUGUAAACUGCUUUUAACCGGGAAGAAACCCCAGGACGUGUCCUGGGUUGACGGUACCGGAGGAAUAAGCACCGGCUAACUUCGUGCCAGCAGCCGCGGUAAUACGAAGGGUGCAAGCGUUAUCCGGAUUCAUUGGGUUUAAAGGGUGCGUAGGCGGAGCGUUACGUCAGUGGUGAAAUCCUGCAGCUUAACUGUAGACUUGCCAUUGAUACUGGCGCUCUUGAGUGCGCUUGAAGUGGGCGGAAUGUGCCGUGUAGCGGUGAAAUGCUUAGAUAUGGCACAGAACACCAAUUGCGAAGGCAGCUCACUAAGGCGAUACUGACGCUGAGGCACGAAAGCGUGGGGAUCGAACAGGAUUAGAAACCCCAGUAGUCC
rnacentral:rRNA from 1 species